rnacentral:rRNA from 1 species
CAGUAGCCGCGGUAAUACGUAGGGUGCAAGCGUUAAUCGGAAUUACUGGGCGUAAAGCGUGCGCAGGCGGUUCUAUAAGACAGAUGUGAAAUCCCCGGGCUCAACCUGGGAACUGCAUUUGUGACUGUAGAGCUGGAGUGCGGCAGAGGGGGAUGGAAUUCCGCGUGUAGCAGUGAAAUGCGUAGAUAUGCGGAGGAACACCGAUGGCGAAGGCAAUCCCCUGGGCCUGCACUGACGCUCAUGCACGAAAGCGUGGGGAGCAAACAGGAUUAGAUACCCGGGUAGUCCCUGUCUCUUAUAA